rnacentral:lncRNA from 12 species
CUGAAUCCUGAACUGAAAAGAUUCAAUUAUCCUUCUGUGACAUGAGCUCCGGUGAUGAGGAAUGGACGAGGUGGGAAAUGGAUGUACAAAUAACCUGCUCAGAGGAGGUUCUGCAGGCACAGGUGUGGAUGGAAAUCAACACUCUCACCAAACAUCUGUUGACAGCAAACACAUCUGAAACCUGUGCCAGUGACCUUCGUGCUGCUGCUGAACCACGUUCCAGACCUACUUGAGGCUUUAUUGACAGAAUGAAUAGUUUUGGCAUAACCAUGCAUGGACUUAAACCAGCACUGUCAGAUGCAAGCAAACUUCUUGACAAGCAUGAUUCUCCCUGCCUGAAGACUAAAUCAGUGCUGCAUGAAUCUGUUAUCUUCUAUCUCACUGUUCAAAACCGGAUCUGGGCUGACAGCAGUAACACUGAGACAGCUUGCACUCACCAUGGAUGUCCCUGGAGCCUUCCAGCUUGUCAAGCACAGCACACUGCUCUGUGCUUGCAAGCAUAUGGCCAACAAAACAAAGAGCUUGCAGCUGGAAUUUGAAUGUAGCACAAACUGAAUUGCUUUAAAAAUCAAGGUAUGUCGUUAGGAAGAAACAAACUGUAAAGAUGCCAGACACAAAAGGAAAUGUAGACAACCGCUAGUCUCAAGCCAG